CGAAUGAUCGAGGAGCUUCGCUCCCUCAUAGAUUUAGCGGCGGACGGGUGAGUAACACGUGGGUAAUCUGCCUGUAAGACGGGGAUAACUCCGGGAAACCGGGGCUAAUACCGGAUAAUAAGAGAAGAAGCAUUUCUUCUUUUUGAAAGUCGGUUUCGGCUGACACUUACAGAUGAGCCCGCGGCGCAUUAGCUAGUUGGUGAGGUAACGGCUCACCAAGGCGACGAUGCGUAGCCGACCUGAGAGGGUGAUCGGCCACACUGGGACUGAGACACGGCCCAGACUCCUACGGGAGGCAGCAGUAGGGAAUCUUCGGCAAUGGGCGAAAGCCUGACCGAGCAACGCCGCGUGAGCGAUGAAGGCCUUCGGGUCGUAAAGCUCUGUUGUUAGAGAAGAACAAGUACGAGAGUAACUGCUCGUACCUUGACGGUACCUAACCAGAAAGCCACGGCUAACUACGUGCCAGCAGCCGCGGUAAUACGUAGGUGGCAAGCGUUAUCCGGAAUUAUUGGGCGUAAAGCGCGCGCAGGCGGUCUCUUAAGUCUGAUGUGAAAGCCCACGGCUCAACCGUGGAGGGUCAUUGGAAACUGGGAGACUUGAGUGCAGGAGAGAAAAGUGGAAUUCCACGUGUAGCGGUGAAAUGCGUAGAGAUGUGGAGGAACACCAGUGGCGAAGGCGGCUUUUUGGCCUGUAACUGACGCUGAGGCGCGAAAGCGUGGGGAGCAAACAGGAUUAGAUACCCUGGUAGUCCACGCCGUAAACGAUGAGUGCUAGGUGUUGGGGGGUUCCACCCUCAGUGCUGAAGUUAACACAUUAAGCACUCCGCCUGGGGAGUACGACCGCAAGGUUGAAACUCAAAGGAAUUGACGGGGGCCCGCACAAGCAUUGGAACAUGUGGUUUAAUUCGAAGCAACGCGAAGAACCUUACCAGGUCUUGACAUCCUUUGACCACUCUAGAGAUAGAGCUUUCCCCUUCGGGG
rnacentral:rRNA from 1 species